rnacentral:lncRNA from 10 species
ACUCCACUUCCGCCACCGCCGCAGCCGCCGCUGCCGCCACUUGGGCUCGCGUCCUCGGCCGCGCCGCGCGGCACCCGGGCCCAGCAGCCGGGAGGCGGCAGCUCUCCUCUACGCCCGUCCCCUCAGGGCGGCUGUGGAUGUUGCCAGUAUUGUCGAUGCUUCAGAGCGACGUUUGCCCUGCGACACAGGCGGGCCGGCUCUCCUCUGUCUUUAUUUUCCUGGAGGCCGACAGGAGCGGGGCCCGAGUUCGGUGGUGGUCGUGAGCGUGGGGGGCACUCAGGCCCGGACGGGCUCUCAGGUCGCCGACGGCGGCGGCUGGAGGCCGCGCUGGCUGUCCCAGGUCGUCGUUAGCUUUAGGGAGCCGAUCUCCGGGCGGCCCCACAGAGGACGCCCGCGAUUCGAUGGCGAUGAUGCCCGUUUUAAAUGGUGUCCCUGCAGCCGGGUGGAUGGAUGGAUCGUACACCUUGCCUUUUGAGAGCCGGGACCUUACGCCCGACUGCGUGUUAUUUCUGCGAAUAAGAACGCAACCUUUGGAGGUGAAGACGACUGUCGGCUGGAUUGAAUUGGAAUCGUGUUUGUGAUGAUGCGUUUAUUUCUGGAAAUACGCGGUCUCCGCUGCUUUUGCUUUUUGUCGGCAGAGGUUUGGGUUCUUCUCUAACGGUCAGGAUAAAGGCCUGUAGGCGACGCUGCGCGAGCGAGAAGCUCGCCCGCGGCUGCCCGGGCGCCCCCCUCUAGGUGUGGGUGGAGCCGAGCGCGCGGGGAGAACCGCCGGCCCCGACUCAGCCACCGGUGACUGCGGGCGACCCGCGGGCCUGCGGCCAGCUGAUUUCAAACAUCGUUUUCCUCUUUAGGUUCGGAAAACUGAGGCGCUGGACAAGGCUGGAAUACAAUAUGUGAUUAUACGUACAGUACUAUGGUUGUUGUAGUUUUUAAAUUGUAAAACAAGAAGUAACCAUUGUUCCACCGUUCUCUAUUAAGUUUGUGUAAAUUAAAAAGGGGCUAUUUUCGGUAAAAAGUGCAGUAGGUAAGCGGAAUUUUACUCAACCGGGACGAAAUUCGUGUUAUAUGAAUUGUAUUGUGUAUUUGUGUGUGUACCAGUGCGCUAAAAGUAAGUAGGAAAACUUGCUUAGAUUAUUCCUUUUGCCUCAGGCCACUCAGGGGGCCAAGAUCCUGUCACUCCUUUUCUCUAGGCCCUGCGAAUGGCUUCCCGUCUUGAGGGGAGUGAGCCAAAGCCUUGACUGCGGCAGAAGUCCCCGCGCGCCGUUGAGGGUGGGGGCGGGCCUGCCCUGGCAUCCUUGCGAGUAGGACUCUUCCCUGAGCGUCGUCCACAGGGCUUGCUCCUUCACCUUCAGGAUUUUGCUCGUGUCACUCGGUGCUUCCGCGGCUACUUUUAAACUGAAAGUUCCCUAGCCCCCUUCUCAUUUUAUCCUUUGGACAGUCUACAUAUCCAUACUUGUUUAUCUUCUUAUCUCUCCUUCCCCAGUGCAAUGUAAGCUCUAAGAGGACAAGAGGUUGUGUUUUUCUGCACUGGUGUUACGGCCCCCGCCUAGAAUGCCACACAGUAGAUGCGUAGUAUGUGGUUAAGGAAUGAAUGCGAUUAUAAGGGCCUUGAUGCUCCCCCAUUUCUGUCUUUAAUAUGUACUUAUAUGCUACAGAGAGCUUUAUAAAAGAUUUAAAACACGUUUAUUACAGAAUUCUAUAAAAAUAUAUUGCUUCUAAACAUUGGAAAGCCCUCCACAACACCAGAAACCCACAAAUGAGGGAUAAAAUUUGUUUUUAGGCUUCUGUAAAUGAGCAUGCCCGAGGACAGUGCAUCAAAUGAUCAUAUCCAUACUGGGCCGAUUAUGUUUGCUCUUCUGAGUCUCAAACUGCAUUCUUCAUCUUGUCGUCCUCUGUCUUUCAAAAUACAUUAAAAGUGAGAAUUUGGUUGGCUCAGAGCAAAUCCAGCACUAUUGGAAAAGUUCAUUCAGCAAGUAUUUAUUGGGCACAAAUGGGUACCAGGCACGCUAAUUCAAAAGGUGUGUGUUUCUGAGGCUAGAAGGCCUUACAUAAAGGACCACAUGUGGCUACUUUGGUUGCUACUCAAUUAUGCUGUCAAGCAAAGCAAAUGCUAGUGAAAUUUAUUUUUAGUUUUCUUCUGAAGAAAAGGUUCAAUGAAAGCUGAGGUCAGGCUUGGUGUGGAUAUUUUAAUUCACCAUUUAGUUUGCUGUUUGCUUACACUUAGGUUAGCAUUAGAUAUACUUAAUCAUGAUUUUUGAGUACUAUAAAACGUGAGAAAUCUUAUUUCCUAGUGGCUGGAAAAACAGGCUUUUUAAAUUAAAAUAAGUAAAUAUAUCAGUAAGCUAGAAGCUAUGCAAUAAGGCUUUGGCUAUGGUAUUACAAAUUUUCAUAUUUCAUGUAUUGAAUUUUUGGACAAGAAAAGACAGCCUUGAUAGGUAUUUUAUAACCAUUAAUACAAUUAAUCAAACAUUGUUUAGUAAAUCCAAUCGUCUAUUCAUUAUUAUUUUUCCCAUUAAUCUUCAGAACAGCUUUAAGUUAAUACAGAUGACUCAGAAUGUGUUUUUCACUCAGUUUCAAAAUACCAUUAUUUCAAUUCGCUAAUAGAAGCACAAUUAUCUUCUUGUCUGCUUUCUUAAAUGUUACUGGUAAACUAGUAAUUUUGCAUGUCCAGGUAACUGCAGCUGCUACAGUCAAUCUGCUUUGGAAAGUCUUGGCAUUAUUGUGUCAUUUAAUUUAAAAUUUUUAAGUUUUUUUAGUUUCUUCCCUUAUUGAGGACUUAUUAGGCGCUAAUUAGCUUUAUGCUAGACAUCUCAUGCAUGGCAGUGAAUGAAAACAACACUGCCUUUGAGGGUUUUAACUUGUAUAUAGUUUAUACCAUUUUUUUUCCAGGUUAUAGAAUCAAAGAAAUUGUUUCAAUUCAUAUCACAGUAUUUCUCUAUUAAAUCAAAUGGUAUUUUGCUUGCAUAAAUUUAAGUAUCCAAGUUGAGAUCUUACAUAGAAUCUGUUAAUCUAAUAUUAGUGUUUUCUUCAUUUCAUUGUCUUGGGUUUUUUUUUCUUAAUAAUUAUUUUUCCCAAUACCAUCCAUUUGUUUUGCUCUUACAUUUUUAAGUCUUUUAUGUUCCAAAUCAGGUGACUUACAUCCUCCACUUGUCCAUUGAGGAUAGCCCAGUAAACCUUUAUUCUGACUUUAAAUUGCCUCCUUGCUUCAAGAACUGAGUUGCAUGACUCAGUUUUCUUUGCUAGAAAUAUCCCUGGAUAGUCUCGUAUGUAUUCUUGAUCAAUGAAUUGCAGAAGAUUUGAUUAAAAAUUUUAAAUGGAUUUCAGGGAUAAACUAUUUGUAUCAAAUGUCAUCACCAGGAAUUUCUACAACUGAAAAAUUUGAAUUGUUAUUUUUAUUGAAGAAUAUUUAUCUUUAAGAUAAAUGCAACUUGCUAUAAAAUGAUAGAAAUGAAAAAUUUUAGAAAAUCAUUUUCUACUCACUAUUUUAUGCCUGCCAGUUAUCCUUUGUUAGUGAUAAAAUUGUCUUUUAUGGGAACGAAUUUGUUAAAGGUAGAAAAAAAACUGGUAGUGUAUGUAUGUUUUAUAGAUUAGACACUACCAAAAUUAUUUAACAUUUAGAAUAAUUAACUUGCUUUCAGGAUGACAGAUGACUUAAGAAACUGAUGAAGGGUUAAUUAAGGAUAUUGAUUUUUAGGGCAGAACUACAAAAUUAUCAAAUCACUUAACACUGUAAAUAUGUUCCUGUUUCAGGUUUUCAAAGUAAAUACCUUAAUCAAAUUUGGAAAUAGUAUUUAUGGAUUUUAUUCAACAUAGAUUAUCUAUUUUGUUAAAAUUAUAGAAAUGAACAGUUCUUUUCCCAUGGAUGCCUUUUUUCAUCUUGGCCUAUUCUGAUCCUUUAAGAACAAGCUUUGUCCUUUCAUUAAUACUUCUCACCUAUAAUUACGAAUUUUCUCUAAACUUGUAGAUUUUAUUAUCCAUGCCAUCUAUUUAUAAUCCUAUGACACUCCUAUAUUGUUUAUGGUUUUUUUGUUUUUUUUUGUUUUUUUUUUUAGACGAAGUCUUGCUCUGUCACCCAGGCUGGAGUGCAGUGGUGCAAUCUCGGCUCACUGCAAGCUCCGCCUCCCGGUUCACGCCAUGCUUCUGCCUCAGCCUCCCCAGUACCUGGGACUACAGGCGCCCACCACCACGCCCGGCUAAUUUUUUGUACUUUUAGUAGAGAUGGGGUUUCACCGUGUUAGCCAGGAUGGUCUCCAUCUCCUGACCUCGUGAUCCCCCGGCCUCGGCCUCCCAAAGUGUUGGGAUUACAGGCGUGAGCCACUGUGCCUGGCCUUACUGUUUAUGUUUUCAUGCAUCUAUACCUUAUGUUACUAAAUCAAAGUGACCAGUUCCACAUUAUACUACAAGUUUCACUGUGUAAUGCAUAAGAAUUACACAGAGGGAAGGGCCUCAAAAAAUGCACUUCUGAAGUAUUUUAAUGUAAAAUUAUUUAAGACCAUAAAGUUUCAUGAAAGCCUAAUCUUUCUGGAACCUACACAUACUCUGCAUGUGAACCAGAGUUAAACUAGUCAAGUAUUUUAAUACUGAACUAAUCUGGAAAAACAUCAUUUAAAAAAUUACUGUAUUUAUGAAGGAAGAAUAUAAAAUCUGUUAAAAACUUAAAACAUCUAAAAUAGGUAUGAAGAGAGGCUUAUGGUGCUCAUUUUAACAGCAUUCUUGAGUAGGUUACCUUGCAGUCAAAGCAUCUGCUCCAGACCAGUGUUUUAAACUGUGGAUUAUGGUACCACUAUGGGUCAUGAAAUUAAUUUAUUGCAUUAUGACUAGCAUUUUUUAUUUAAAAUAGAGAAAAGAAUAGAAAAUAAAAGCGUACAUCACAGAUGGUAAGGGUAUGUGUUUUUAAGUAAACAUUUGUUCAUGUGUAUAUGUGUUAGAUUACCUUGUAAAACAUAUUCCUUAUUGUGGGUUACAGGCCAAAAAAAGUGUUUGUUUUUGUUUUUAAAAAUCUACAGUUCAGAUUUUCCUUAGAAAAUGGGGAAAAAAGGAAUGUUAGAAAGAUCUGACUGCCUAUGAACUAGUGAAGGAUUUUAGAGGAAGUACCAGGCUAUUUUAGAGAUCUGAUACUGGUUUCAGAAAGGUAAUCUUAAGGCAAAGGGUAGGAAAUAAAGUUAUGUUGUUAGUAGAAAUGUCAAAUACGGUUAAAGUUGUGAGGAGGAAUUAUUUUCCUAGUGGACCUACAUUUGUUGUGUGUAGAUCUGUGACUAUUACUGAUCUGUUGUAGCACAUUUUCCAAUCUAAAAUGUCCGAUACAGCACAAUAAUAAACAUGGGGCAGAAUAUA